rnacentral:rRNA from 1 species
AUUGAACGCUGGCGGCAGGCCUAACACAUGCAAGUCGAGCGAGCGGCGGACGGGUGAGUAAUGUCUGGGAAACUGCCUGAUGGAGGGGGAUAACUACUGGAAACGGUAGCUAAUACCGCAUACCAUCAGAUGUGCCCAGAUGGGAUUGGCUAGUAGGUGUGGUAGUGGCUCACCUUGGCGACGAUCCCUAGCUGGUCUGAGAGGAUGACCAGCCACACUGGCACUUAGGCACUGGCCAUCCUCCUACGGGAGGCAGCAGUGGGGAAUAUUGCACAAUGGGCGCAAGCCUGAUGCAGCCAUGCCGCGGGUGUUAAGAAGGCCUUAGGGUUGUAAAGCACUUUCAGCGGUGAGGCGUUACCCGCAGAAGAAGCACCGGCUAACUCCGUGCCAGCAGCCGCGGUAAUUC